GUCCUCUAAACACAAAGGUUUGGUCCCAGCCUUGAAGUCAAUUUUUACUCAAUAUACACAUGCAAGUCUCCGCACCCCUGUGAGAACGCCCUUAAAUCCCCAGUAGGGAUAAGGAGCUGGUAUCAGGCACGAUAAUCUGCCCAAGACACCUAGCUAUGCCACACCCACAAGGGAAUUCAGCAGUGAUUAACAUUGAACAUAAGCGACAGCUUGAUUCAGUUAGAGUAAAGAGAGCCGGCUAAUCUGGUGCCAGCCGCCGCGGUUACACCAUGUGGCUCAAAUUGACCCCUGUCGGCGUAAAGCGUGAUUAAAGUUUUAUUAAAAAUUGGAAUUAAACUUAAACUAAGCUGUGACACGCUUGUUAUUAAGGAAACACAAAAACGAAAGUUAUUCCAACUAAAUCAACUUGAACUCACGACAGCUGAGACACAAACUGGGAUUAGAUACCCCACUAUGCUCAGCCGUAAACUUUAACUUACUUUGACAUCGCCUGGGAACUACGAGCAAAGCUUAAAACCCAAGGGACUUGACGGUACCCCAUAUCCCCCUAGAGGAGCCUGUCCUAUAAUCGAUAACCCCCGUUUAACCUCACCAUUUUUAGUAAAUCAGCCUGUAUACCUCCGUCGUCAGCUUACCACGUGAGCGAUACUUAGUGAGCUUAAUGCCAUUACGCCAAUACGUCAGGUCAAGGUGCAGCAAAUGAAAUGGGAAGAGAUGGGCUACACUUUCUAAAAUAGAAAACACGAAAGACUACUUAUGAAAUCUAGUCAGAAGGCGGAUUUAGCAGUAAAAAGAAACCAGAGUGUUCUUUUUAACUAGGCACUGGGGUGUGUACACACCGCCCGUCACCCUCUUCAAAGCCCCCCAAAAGUACUUAACUUAUUUUAGCACCACAGAAGAGGCAAGUCGUAACAUGGUAAGUAUACCGGAAGGUGUGCUUGGAAA
rnacentral:ncRNA from 1 species